rnacentral:tRNA from 1 species
GGGUGAUUAGCUCAGCUGGGAGAGCACCUCCCUUACAAGGAGGGGGUGUAGAGCAGUUGACUUUUAAUCAAUUGGUCGCAGGUUCGAAUCCUGCACGACCCACCA